CUUACCCUCUGCCCAUUCCGCAAGCGUUUAUCCGACGCGUACAUAAAUAUCCGGUCGACCACUCUGUGUACACGAAGAAGAGCGAACGAACGGCGAUCCCGGCCGUCUUCCCUCGUGGCAGGCCCUCGUGUACGUGCAUAAGUUCUUGCGGAUGAGAGAGCUGGCGAGAGUGGCCGGUAGCUGCGAGAGUACACGCCGCCAAGCAGCGGCGAAGAGGGGAAAGAGGCAGACAGAUGAGGAACGUGUACAUGAAAACCACCAACACGCAGAACAAUGCAGUAAGCAACAGACACUGCUUGCUCCACGAACUACGUAUGAGCCACCCUAUAGAAGAUCGAAUUGGCAGAGAACUAGAGAGAUGGAUGGAGGAGGAGGUUCGCAUGGACGUAUCGUAGUACGGCAUAAAGAUGAUAGAACCGAAUACCGGGCGCAUACCAGCAGUUUGACGUCUGUCUGCCAGCAUAACCAUCAGGAAUUCCGCUUGGUGUUCUUGACCUAUUAGCUGCAGGGUUGCAACCUGACCGUUUCACUUUCUCUGCUUGAGCAGCACUGAAUGGAAAAU